UCCCUAGUGGCUCAGAAGGUAAGCAUCUGUCUGCAAUGCAGGAGAACUGGGUUCGAUCCCUGGGUUGGGAA
rnacentral:tRNA from 1 species